rnacentral:lncRNA from 7 species
UCGAAGGGGCUCAGAGACCCUAUAGGGUUAUUUGGGGGGGGGGAGAGGGACUCAGAACCCCUAUAAGCACAUCUCCCCCGGGGACACCAAGGUUUGGGCUGGGGGGGGGGGAUUGGGGUCCUGGGGGGGUUUGGGGGCCCGAAGGAAGGGGGUCGGGGUGGUUUGGGGGGGCUCAGAGACCCUAAGGGUUAUUUGGGGAAGGGGGGGGCGAGGGACUCAGCAGCCCUAUAAGCACAUCUCCCCCGGGGACACCAAGGUUUGGGGCUGGGGGGGUGGGAUUGGGGUCCUGGGGGGUUUGGGGUCCUGAAGGGAAGGGGUUGGGGUGAUUCAGGGGGGGAAGGGGGGGCAGAGAUUCUAUAGGGUUAUUGGGGGACUUACAGACCCCAUAAGGGUAUUUAGGGGUGUUCUAAGGGGCUCAGAGACCCUAUAGGGUUAUUUGGGAGGGGGAAGGGGGGCUCAGAGCCCCCAUAGCGUUACUGGGGGCCUUACAGACCCCAUAAAGGUGUUUGGGGGUGUUCUAGGGGACUCAGAGACCCUAUAGGGUUAUUUGGGGGGGGGAGAGAACUCAGCAGCCUAUAAGCACAUCUCCCCCGGGGACACCAAG